CCUUCCUUCUGCAAGUGAGUAUCUGCGUAUGCGUAGUAUAGUAAAAAGUAUUGAAGGAGUAAUGACAGAUAUGCGGUAUAGCCGAUACUUACACAUGUGUCUUCAACCAAUCAGACAUGACUAUCCAACUUACACAUCGCCAAACAUCUCAUUAUUUACAUGAGACACGUGUAUCAGUUCAGUACAUAUUUUUUGAAACCAUAUAUUUCACCCAAGUUAGCAGUCUAGUGUAUAAUAUAAAUAUCUCUGCGUUUAAACGUUCCAACUAGCUUUGUAAAUUUUAGUAAUCCAACUUACACAUCGCCAAACAUCUCAUUAUUUACAUGAGACACGUGUAUUAGUUCAGUACAUAUUUUUUGAAGCUAUGUAUUUCACCCAAUAAUCCAACUUACACAUCGCCAAACAUCUCAUUAUUUACAUGAGACACGUGUAUUAGUUCAGUACAUAUUUUUUGAAGCUAUGUAUUUCACCCAAGUUAGUAUUCUAGUGUAUAAUAUAAAUAUCUCUGUGUUUAAACGUUCCAACUAGCUUUGUAAAUUUUAGUAAUCCAACUUACACAUCGCCAAACAUCUCAUUAUUUACAUGAGACACGUGUAUUAGUUCAGUACAUAUUUUUUGAAGCUAUGUAUUUCACCCAAGUUAGUAUUCUAGUGUAUAAUAUAAAUAUCUCUGUGUUUAAACGUUCCAACUAGCUUUGUAAAUUUUAGUAAUCCAACUUACACAUCGCCAAACAUCUCAUUAUUUACAUGAGACACGUGUAUUAGUUCAGUACAUAUUUUUUGAAGCUAUGUAUUUCACCCAAGUUAGUAUUCUAGUGUAUAAUAUAAAUAUCUCUGUGUUUAAACGUUCCAACUAGCUUUGUAAAUUUUAGUAAUCCAACUUACACAUCGCCAAACAUCUCAUUAUUUACAUGAGACACGUGUAUUAGUUCAGUACAUAUUUUUUGAAGCCAUGUAUUUCACCCAAGUUAGUAUUCUAGUGUAUAAUAUAAAUAUCUCUGUGUUUAAACGUUCCAACUGGCUUUGUAAAUUUUAGUAAUCCAACUUCAGAGUACAGAGUUGUUUACGUUAUGUCAUGUUUAAUCCUUUCGUCCCAAGUGGUACACAUAGGUAUCAUAAAUAUUUUAAAUUACUGGAAAGCUAGAGAACGUGUUACGGACAAGAGGGAAUAUUAUAUCACUCCGGGAUUUUAUGUUAUUACUGUGAGGUUAAGUGCCAAUCAACAUCAACAAAGUUAAUGUAAAUGCUACGACUGAAUAGUGAGCCGCUGUUUUCUCCCAAAAGUUAUUUUUGGUUUGCUUCUUAUUUCUUUAUUUUUUGUGCAGAACAUAUAUGUACCAGCUGGAUUUUCUACCGAUUUUCUGACGAUUAUAAACCUAAAGAUGAUGAGACUGAAAGUGAAAAUGAGUAAGAAUGUAGAUGAGGAGAUUUUGGAAAACUCUCAAUAUUUAAAAAAAGUCAACAAGAGAUGGAGAAUUCAGAAACAAGGAGACCAUGUAGAGAUACAAGACGAAAUUUUUACUUUUAACCGACUUGGGGAAAACAAACCUUUAGAAAAUAAUUAUUUGCGUAUUUUCUCACAGACAAUCUCGUAUUUUCAUCACCAAAGCAAUUGCACAUUCGUCCGGUCAACUCUUACGUAACAAUAAUAAUAGAAAAUAAUAGUAGAAAAAUGUAAUUGUCGUCAAUGGACGACCGCAGCACUCCUCGGACGCAUCCUUUACUUUAAUCGUGUAUAAAUACUUUACUUAAUAAAAAAUAAUAUCCACACGGAAAAAAAGGUUUGGUUGAAUUAACCAAAUAUCUGGUCGAAUAUGAACGAUCCAGAAAUUC